rnacentral:misc_RNA from 1 species
AAACUUUCUCAAGCAGCUGUUUAACAUGUCAGCUUUCGGUCUCCCUCCAAAAUCUAUCACUUCAACAUCUUGACAGAAUUUACUAUAUAAUUUGUCAUAAUUUUUAGUUGUGUUUAUUUUCGCUCGGUGCAGAUAGUUGGAUAUAACCAUGAUAUAAUCCAAAACCAUCUUCCUAUCGAAUCCGGUCCACAGAAAUCUCUUAACAUACUUUCGCAUUCAAUAACUUUUUUCGCUCUGUUGUUCUUUGUGUCACCAUGGAGAAUUACGUGCAACAACAAGAGUUUUCUGAAGCUAAAAACCGGAUGAGUUUAUUUGAAUCAGAAUUUGAAGAUGGUUGCUUCCUGCAAAAGCUGAUGAAAGAGAACUCUCCUUCCUUUCCUAAACGUCGUAGACUGGAAGAGGAUGCUCAGAGUUGCAUCAGCAGCCGGACUGAUUCACCAGUAUCUGUUGACAGCUUCAUGGAUGAAAGUUUCUGUCCUACACCAACUGACUCUCCUUCCACUCGGGUGGCAACACUAUCGGAUUUUAAAAAACAUUAUAAAAAGGAUGAACUUUGGGCUGCUAUUGAAUCUAAUUACCAAUAUCUUAUGGAUGAUGAAAUCAUUGAGACAUGUAGGUCAACUGAAAGUGACUUGUCUCUUGAUGAUGAAGAUACUGCGAUAAAUCCCAAUGUAUCAUUCCAAGAAUUCAUGCAGCAAUACCAAGAACUGACUGAGUGGCUGAACCAGAUUCAGGCAUUCACUCAGCGGAAGGUGAUGAGUCGAUCAGAGAAAUAUCUAAACCAGACCUACCAUGAAGAGCUGUUACAAAGAUCCCCUCGCCACAAGUUAUUAAAUGACUAUGCUCGCCAGUUACUCAAGCGAUAUCCUGCUUUAAAAGGAGAUGUCUAUGUACGACUACAGCUAUUAAAUGCUCAGUGGCAGAAAAUUGAGCAAGCAAUCUCCCCAUCAAAGGGUGUACAAGACUGGAAGACAAUGCUUAUUGACUUGAAAGCUGAUAUAGAUCAUCUGUGGAAAUGGCUUCAAGGUGUUGAAAAUCGUCUUUUACCAUUGUGCAUACGAAGUAGUUGGACUACACCCGAGUUGGAAGAAAAGUUAACUGAACACCAGAUAUUGCAAAAGGAUAUAGAAUCCCAUUUGAGAGUGGUUUCAGCAGUACUUAAGCUUGGUGAAUGCCUUCAAAAUGGAAAAAAUGAAGAAAAGCUUCAUGAACAAUCUAUCACCUUUCCAGAAUCACUCCAUGAUGUCAGCCACAACCUGGAGAAAAGAUGGCAUACAAUUUGGUUACAGUCGCUUGAGUGGCAGUGUCGUUUAGAACAAGCAAUUAUCUCUAAGAAGAAACUGGAAAAUACCAAUCAUUUAUCAGCCUUUUCUCCUAUUAAAUUCUGGGGCCAAACUCCUCUUAGGCCAGGAAACCUAUCCUCUAAAACACAUUAUGAAUCCAGUGAAGAACAUGUUCAUGAUGUAGGUGGUAGUAGUUUAAGUGACCAAGGUGACGAAUCUGACUACAAAUUGCAAACAAAGCUUGGUAAAUCAACAGAAGAAAGCAUGCCUGGAAAACCUAAUGAAAACAACUCGGUGAGGAGAUUCUGUGAAAAACAGACUAAUGACUUGGUUUAUGGCAAGCAUGAUGACUAUAUUUUGAGCAUGAACAGAGAAAAUAUGUUUUUGGAAAAAGCACAACUUUAUCAAGACAAUGCUAACCCAUUCAAAAAACUGGAAGACCAUAACAAUGUUGGCAAGAAUAUACUUUCAAACUCUCCGCUACAGACUCAAAAGUUUUACAGUAUUAAAGAUCCGUCCAAAGUUGGAAAUAUUAACUCUUCAAAUCAGCAUUUUUAUCAAAUGGUCACUCUUGACACUGAUUGGUCUACAGAUUCAACCCAUGAUGAUAAUAAUACACCAAAAUUUUCCACCUACAGUUUCAACAAGACCACUGAUUCUGGUGUUAUUGCUGAUAUUAGCAACAACAAUAUACAGACUCAAAGUUGUAACUUUAGUGAAAAUAUUGAUAAACCUUUACAGAUUGAAACAAUCAGUUCUACAGCUGAUAAAAUAUGUUUCACUCCAGAGAAAAACAGCAUGGAACAAUCAUCAGGGAAAGAAUUAUCGACAGCAUCUGACUCAGGGACUGACAAGUCCCCAGACAUGUCUAUAGCGACCACAACAACAGCAUCAGAGAGCUGCAGCUCCUCACAAAAGUCUAAAAGAAAGAUAAAAAAAGGCCACAAACCUGCUUUCUCCAGCUGCUCUUCUUGGUCUGGCGGAGAUGCAGAAAAUGCUGUUGAAAGUUCUUGUGAUGCAAGUGGAGAAGAAAGUGGAGACAGUGAUGGCUCAGAUGAGUUUUCUACUGCCAGUGAAGACAGCCAGGAUAACCUAUAUGAACGAGCCAUGCAUCCACAUUCUCUUUGUAAUGAUAAAGUAGACUCUGCCAGAGUACCAGAGCAUUCAUCACUCCUUAUUCAAAGAGAAGGAAGACGAAAUAAAGAGAGGCCUUGGAGUGUUAUUGAGCUUUAUGAACAAAGCAAUGGUCUUGACUUGAAACCAUUUUUCAUAUCUGAAAGUGCUCUUGACCAGUUGCGUUCCCAGGAGGUAUCAACUCCAACUAAAAAUAAUCAAUCCUUUGAUUACGCAUCUGCUACAUUUCCUAGAUUAAAGAGGAAAGAAAAUAUUUUGAAAUCCCUUCAUGCAACGUCAGAUGAUGCCCUGUCUCAUCCAGGUGUGAAACGUAAACUUGAAAAUGACUUUCCAAAACUCUGCCAAAUUCUGAGCAGCUUAUCUCGAGAAAGCUUAAUGGGACAAAGUUAUCGUUCUGAGAGCGAAUCUGAGACAAAAGAACUUGCACGCCAACUACAAAACACAACCGUUUGUUCGGGUACAAGCGAUACAGAAUCUGAAAGUGGAGGAGCUUAUGGAACUGCUACGGAAGAUGCAUCAGAUGGGGAGUACUUCCCAGGUAGUAAUGGCUCCUUUUCCGAAACAGCUUGGGACAACUACCAGGCACCACUCUAUCCCACAGUCAGUGAUGAAGCUACAGAACCAGCUCUUCAGUGGUCAGGUGAAAUGGAGUUUGAAGAGGAAUUAUCACCUGUGUCUGCCAACAACACUAUAAUCACACAAGUUGUUGCAAAGCAGAGUGAUGAAGAUUCUGGAAAGUGCUCCCGCUUAGCACCGUGUGAUGAUAGUGACUCUGAUCUGGAUGACUUUUACCAUGUUCUGGACGAAUCUUCCAACCAACUGAAAGUCACAGAUCAUGCGUUACAAAAGAAAAAGAAAGACACAGGCUUGUAUUUGAACACCGGCCGAUAUACUGAACUGCUGGCUACUUGUCAGACCAAUAUUAAGUGCCUAGAAGUCAUCUACCAGCACCUGAACAGCGCCUCACCUGUAAGCAAGGAUGACUUGGACCGAAUGCAAGGAUUGCUGUAUCAGUGGGAGAAGUUGCGUGCCCUGGCAGUGGAGCGUCAGAGCCAGUGCCGAGAACUGUGCCAAAUUAAUGCAAGCCUCAUGACAGUUUACAACUGGCUACAUGAGUUGUCAACCCUCAUUAAAAAAGAACAGUUCAAAGGCUUAGCUGACGCACAACAAAUCAUCAAAAUUACACAGGAAAAGCAAGCCUUAUUUGAAGAAAAAAUGUCUACACUGAAUGAAUUAAAGGAAUCAGUGCUCUCCUUUAAAGAGCAGCACCCAACCAUAAGUGUUGAAGGUUUCCUCAUGAAGAUAGGGAAAUGCAUGACUGAGUUAAAUUCUCUAAGAGACAAAUGUGCUACAAAACUUCUUCUGUUACAAAAGUACUUAUUAGUAUGGUAUGAGUACAAUGAGACCAAGAAAGAACUAGACCAUAUGCUGAGGCAGCAACGGCAGCAGUUGGAUUGCAUAGUCUAUCAUUUAGAGGUGGAUUUACCAAAACAUCAACCCAAUGUGCAGAAUGAUUUGAGAGCUGUCCAGAAAAGCUUGAGUCUCUGCCAAGAAAAACUUGACCAACUGCAAUCUUACCGCCUCCAGUUGAUCUGCUAUUUGGACCGCUCAGCUUGUGCCGGCAUUUCUGCUGAUUAUUCUGAAUAUCGAAGUCUGCUGUUUGCUAUUAAACAGCAGUGUCAAAAAUCUAUUGCCAAGGCAGCUCGGCUCAACUCAAACAGGGCUGGUAAACCUGCUCGUAUUGAACACCCUCUACAGGCAAGCAACAAUGGUUCGUUAGGCAGAGGUCGCUCCCUUGUGUUUCCUUCCCAUAUCACUCCUACAUCUACUACUACUGACUUGGCUAAAGAGGAAACAAAUAUCAGAAGUGAAAAUGGAACUCCGACUUCGGCAGUUCCCAGAACUACAUCAUCUAACUUUCAAAAUACAAUGCAAGGGCUGGUGCUUGUCUGCGCAGCAGGACUUGCUUAUAUGGCAGACCCUGAAGCUCUUGAGAAGCUAAUCAGCUUCUCGAUCCAGUUGAAUCCCGAGUUAAGAUACAUCAAUGGUGCACCACCUAUUUGAGGCCCCUAUAAAAAAGUUUUGUGUUCAAUGAUAUCUACCCCCAUUUUACUACAAAAUAUUGCAACAAUUUUUGUUGUUAUGGCUUAAAAUUUUUCUAUUCAUGAUCAACACUUACUGGUACCGAUUCAUUUUCCAGUGGGAAUAUGGUGAGGGGCACUAUUCAGCAGUACAAUAAUGUCAAGAGUAAAACAAAAUGAAUUCAUCCAAAUUUUAAAUUUCCAAGAUUUUAAAAACAAUAACAAAGAAACGUCACAAAUCAGUUUUGAUUUAUCAACAUUUUCCAAAUUAACAGGAAAAAAAAUUUGUUUAUUUUUGGCUUUAUUGAACGAAGAUGAAAAAGAAAAAUUGGACAAAACAAUAAUGUAUUUUGAAUUUUUUGGCUCUAACCGUGAUUUCAUGUUUUACGACAAGGAUUUGGUGCUGUUUAAUUUAACAAAACAGUCAAAGUAUUGCUGAAUAGAUAUCCUUUUGUGAGGUGGAUUUCAGGUAGCUUCUCCAUACCAGUAAGUGUUGUUCAUAGCAAUUUUAUUUAACCCUCGUUUCUAACUAGCUUUGUGUGAAAUUUAGGCUGUGUAAAAUUCACAUAUAUAUAUAUAUAUAUAUAUAUACAUACAUAUAUAAAAUCUCAAAACAUGAAAUUUAGUAACGAAACCAACACAGCUCAACAAAGUAUAGUUGACUAUAUACAGUAUUUAAAAAUAGGCUGGAACCAAUAUAUAUAUAUCUAUACAUUUAUUCAAAUUUAGAUGAAGGCUUUGAUUUAAGCAGUGUUCUCUUCCAAUAUAUAUAUAUAUAAAUAUAUAUAUAUAAAAUCAUUUAACACUGGUUGGAAGUUUAUUGUGAAAGUUUUUUACAUCUAGUUGUGCCUAUUUUUUUUUAUAUUUCUCUCUCUAAAAUAAAUUAGAGGGUUUUACAUUGCAUUGAAAUGUUCGGCUAAUAAAGUGACAUUGUUCAUUUGGAUGGAAUUAUUCUUGGGCAAUGUUUUUAUUUAUUUAAAUCCGUUUCUGGAUUUCAAAAGUCAGAAAUUUAUUUUUUUUAAAUGCUUCUGUGGAGCAGAAUUUUGGAUUGUAGAGAAUAAAGAAUAAUAUUUAUUUUGUAAAAUUAUAAUUGACAAAAACUGAUCUGAACUACUGUUAAGUGACAUUUUGAUUUCAGUAUAUUUUUUUUUUACCUGUAUUUAUAUAUUUUAGCUUUAAUUUAUUAUUUUUUUAAUUUAUACGUUUUUUUUUUUUUCAAAUAAAAUUUUAAAUGUAUUAAGUAUACAAAUUCUAUUUAUACAUUUAAUUCGAUAUUAUUGGGGGUUCCUUUACAUUGUCUCCCUAUUCAAUUAAUUUAUAAUAAUUCUGAUACACAUAAAACUGUAUUCCUGUCUAAUUUUGCUUCAGACCCCAGGAAUGAGUUUGAAUCUUAGUUUACAGUUGAUAUAAUUCAGUUUGAUUAUAGAAUACUCACAUGGAACCGAGAAGUGAUAAGGAUUUAAAUUCCAACAUGUAGGGCAUAAUAUUUCCCUUUUCUCUUGGAGAAAAAAAAGUGUGGGGCUGGAACAUUGCAAGUUUAAACAAGGUUUGUAAUCUACAUUGGUUAAAUAUUAUCAGCCUGCUUCCAAGGAGAAAACGGUAGUUUUUUAUGAUUAGUUGAGAAUAUUCUUUAACACAAGUUGAAAGAUAUAGACCUUGGAUUUAAUGGCACGAAUUAAACAUUGUUUAUCAGGUUAACCAAAUUUACCAUGAUGUAAGAUUUUCUUAUUUUAUUGGUGAUGAAAACAAAAGAAAACACACCGUCAACUGCAGUAUUAUGACACUUGCUAUGGGACCAGAAUAUUGAGUUGGUAAUGUUAGUGGGAAAUCUGGUUACGUAAUUACAUGAAAUGUUUCAAAGCAUGAUAUUGGAGCAAAUUUAAGAGGACAGCAAAUUUGUUGGCUCUUCCAAAAUUCUGUAGUCAUUUCAAGACUAGAAUUCAAUAAGACACUGUAACCUUUCUUGGAAUUCCCAUGACUGUCAUGAUCUGAUUAGUGAACAUUAUGAAAAAAAAAGUUUUAUAUUUUAUUUUUUU